UACGGAGGGGGCUAGCGUUGUUCGGAAUUACUGGGCGUAAAGCGCACGUAGGCGGCUUUGUAAAGUUAGAGGUGAAAGCCCGGGGCUCAACUCCGGAAUUGCCUUUAAGACUGCAUCGCUAGAAUUGUGGAGAGGUAAGUGGAAUUCCGAGUGUAGAGGUGAAAUUCGUAGAUAUUCGGAAGAACACCAGUGGCGAAGGCGACUUACUGGACACAUAUUGACGCUGAGGUGCGAAAGCGUGGGGAGCAAACAGG
rnacentral:rRNA from 1 species